rnacentral:rRNA from 1 species
GACGAACGCUGGCGGCGUGCUUAACACAUGCAAGUCGAACGGAAAGGCCCUGCUUUUGUUGGGUGCUCGAGUGGCGAACGGGUGAGUAACACGUGAGUUACCUGCCCUUCACUUUUGGAUAUCUUCAGGAAACUGUGGCUAUUACCGUAUAGGAGCUCCUCCUGCUUUGUGGUGUUUGGAUUUUUUCGGCGGUUGGGGAUGGACUCGCGGCUUAUCUGCUUGUUUGUGGGGUAGUGGCUUACCAAGGCUUUGACGGGUAGCCGGCCUGAGAGGGUGACCGGCAACAUGGGGACUGAGAUAGGGCCCAGAAGACAACGGGAGGCAGCAGUGGGGAAGAUUGCACAAUGGGGGGAAGCAGGAGGAAGAAAGGCAGCGUGCGGGAUGACGGCAUGCGGGUUGAAAACCGCUUUAGAAUGGGAAGAAGCGUGAGUGACGGUAAUGGGUAAAGAAGCACCGGCUAACUACGUG